UACGUAGGUGGCAAGCGUUGUCCGGAAUUAUUGGGCGUAAAGGGCUCGUAGGCGGUCUGUUGCGUCGGGAGUGAAAACUCAGGGCUUAACCCUGAGCCUGCUUCCGAUACGGGCAGACUAGAGGUAUGCAGGGGAGAACGGAAUUCCUGGUGUAGCGGUGAAAUGCGCAGAUAUCAGGAGGAACACCAGUGGCGAAGGCGCCGCUCUGGGCCGAGACUGACGCUGAGGAGCGAAAGCGUGGGUAGCAAACAGG
rnacentral:rRNA from 1 species